ensembl:lncRNA
CACAAGCACCUGCCAGCCACGCUGUGCCUGGACACAGUGGUUUGAUGUAGAUUUCCCAAGCGCUGGUAGCCAGGGUGGAGACUUUGAGACCUUUGCAAAUAUCCGUGCCGCUGGUUAUGACCUGUGCUCCCAGCCACAGGACAUCAGGUGCCGUGCUGAAAACUACCCUGACAGGAGCCUGCAGAGUUUGGACCAGAAACUCAAGUGCAGCCUCGAUGUUGGACUUGAGUGCAGAAACAAGGAUCAGAACAGCAAUACCCCAUGUGCUUCAACUACCAGGUCAGUGUGCUGUGCUGUGACCACCAGCACUGCUUGACAACAUUAACAACGCCCGGCACCAC